GUCACUACGCUGCGUAAGAGAAGCCAAAUAAAGCGCAUGCUGUGUACAGAGGGUGUCGAGAAUGCCUCCUACGUGACGGAAAGCAGAUCCGUGGUUCCCUGCAGACUGGCAGGAGCAGAUUCCAAAGGCACAGGAAGAAGCUUGCAGUACAAAGAUAAAAAUCUAAAGUGGUUGCUGUGGAGGACAGGGGUCAGUGGUGGAAGUGAGACCGAAAUAGACUCUGAAGUAAUAUCUGGACUUUGAAAUUGCGCCAACCCUGAGACAAAAAUUUGGAAGGUGGCCCUGAGCAGCAGCUGAAGGGAAGUGGGAGGCAGCUGCUCCCAACCCCAGAACCUUUGCUGUCUUGGGACGGAUCACCGCUGCAAGAGGGGAAGUUGCUACUGUGAUGAAUUCUGCCAUGUGGCACCAGACUGCCACCCAGACCACAGUGUCCUCUGCAACCCUGGUAACUCACAUACAGGCCCGAUUCCACCUACAGCAAAGCUGGAUGCGAUGGCUGGCAGAGGCAAACCCUUUGCCUGCACUUCAGGCCAAAGCCGGGAUGUGGCCUAGAUGGUUCCUAAGGUCCCUGACAAUCCUGAGAUCUUGCAUCUUGUCUAUUUCAGGUCAAAGGUGCCUACAUGCUCCUUCUAGCUUUGUUUCCCUGAUGUUCCUUGCCACCUGCUACUCCUCUCUGAGCUACUUUUCCAGGUUCCACAGGGAGAGGUUCAGCUGUCCGUGGUAGACAUGAGGGUAGAGAAUGAGGUGGUUGGGUUCCACUUACCUUUCUAUCAUCUUGCAGUAUGGAUGUCUCUUGACUGGUACCGUGUAGACUUUUGAGGGCACACAGGAGUCUGCAGAGAGAUACUGGGGACAUUGAGCAGCAGCAGUGGGGUUGGGAGGCAGAAAUGAGGACAGGAACAUUUACCUUGUGUUUCUCUCAGCUUCUCAGAUGACCAAGAUGGUGCUGCAGAU
rnacentral:lncRNA from 10 species